rnacentral:snoRNA from 1 species
GCGAAUGAUUAAAAUUUUUUAACCCUGAAGAGCUUCGAUGCUCCAUUUUGAAGAUCAAACAAAACGCAACAACAACACUCUAAUUUUUUAAUGACG